GUUUGUUGCGGCGAUGUGAGGGGAACACAGAGAAGUGCUUUUAAGAAGUUAAAGUUUGACCUACGACUGAAAAUUUUUUUAAAAAGGCAAAACUUUAGAAUUUUUGCCAGUUCUACCCCAGUGACACCUCUUUUAAAGCCCAUCUUGAAACAGCUUAGGAGUGUCUCUGGAGUAUCUGUCCAAACAUUUGAAUCAGUUUUGUUUGUGUGCCUGUCUGAAGUCUAGCAUAAAUCGGGUAAGGACAGGAUGAAAGAUGAAAAAAAGUAAGCCUCACUUAAAAAAAAAAAAAGGAAAUUGGUAGAUUAUGGCAUAGGAACAAACUUGUGAAAGGGGUGUAAUUGGAAGUUCUGGGUUCACAGACAAGACAAUUUGAAGAAAUAAGGCCCUGGUGGCUUUUUGGAUUUGGAAGAUAGGAGGAGGAUGUUUCAGAUCCCCUUCAGCACAGCCCAGGCAGCGUUUAUGAAUUUGGAAGACACGGGAAAAGGUGGCCGUGACGUCGGGGCCUGUCACCAAUCCUGUCUAGCCUGCUCGGCUCGCUGGCUUUUUUUUUUAAUAUAUUUUUUAAAAUUUUAUUAUUUAUUGGCUGUGUUGGGUCUUCACUGCUGCACACGGUCUUUCUGUACUUGCGGCGAGCGGGGGCUUCUCUUGUUGUGGAGCCUGGGCUCUAGGCGCGUGGGCUUCAGUAGUUGCAGUACAUGGGCUCAGUAGUUGCGGCUCACGAGCUCUAAAGCGCAGGCUCAAUAAUUGUGGCGCACGGGCUCAAUAAUUGUGGCGCACGGGCUUAGUUGCUCCGUGGCCUGUGGGAUCUUACUGGAGCAGGGAUCGAACCCAUGUCCCCUGCAUUGGCAGGCGGAUUCUUAACCACUGCACCACCUAGGAAGCCCCUAGCUUUUUUAUAUUGAUACUUAACCAAGUGUGGACAGGUUUGAAAACAGUCAAAACCUUAGUGAAUUAUUUGUUAAUUUGGUAAUUCAAUAAGAUAAUCCAGGAAAAUGGAUGUGACUGUAGAUUGAAACGUUCUGAUAGAAAUAAAUCAUUUACGUGCAGGAUUUAUUCAAUAUAUGCUUUGAACAACCCUGGUUGGUUUGCUGUAGGGGAUGUUGAAAUAAAUGGACUCCUCUUGAGGUCUGCAUAAUAGGUGAGUGCAGACACUAACACCCUUGAAACAACGGUGAAGACCAAAACAGUAAACAAAUAGGUGCUGGAUUGUGAGAGAGAAAUUUAGACUAAAGAUGUAGGAAUUUGACAACUAGGUGAAUGGGUAGAUAGGAAAGUUUUAUGAAAGAGAAGCACUUGCCGAGGCGCCUACUGAAGUGGUAAGGGACGUGAUCUGUUUGCAGGGAAGUCAGCCUGAUCUCACUCGGCAGGGGAGGACUGGGUGGGUAACGUGGGUCCAGGCUGUGGAAGACUUAUAAAGUCAAGCAGAAGGGUUUGGACUCAGUGUGAUUGGCCAUGUUUUCUACUCCCAUCCCCUGGCAGACCUGAGGAGGUCAUGAGAAUAUGGACCAGUAUGAUGCCAUGGGGAGGGAAAGAAAGCAUGGGUUAUGAAAAACAUUUUUAAAGGAGAAAUGGACAGAACUUGGUAACUGAGUAGCCCACGGGUGAUGAGUUGGAAGGAUGCCAAAGACGUCUGGUUUUCAAACCCAGUGCCUGAGAGAGUACGUGUGGCAUAGGGAACGGAGGGAAAACUAAUGUUCAGUGUUGGAUUUGACUUGAUAAUGACGUAUUAGAAUAGAAAGUAUCAAAUAAAUAGAAAUACAGUGUUUUGUGGACCUGGUAGUACUUCGUGGAUCUGAGUGGUCUCUGAUAAUAUUUUGUAAAUAUCUUUUGACUGGGUGAUUGAAAGAUUGCUUCACCUUCUGGGUCCCAAGCCUUUUAGGGAAUCCCUGGAUGGUAGGCACACAUACUGACGGCUUCUUGUCCAAACUAGUAUUUACUACCAUACAGAGUUACCAUGACUUUGUGCCAUACUCAGACUAAUUUUUUAUUUUUCUAAUAACAUCACAAAUGACAUUUUAAAAUUUUGAAUAGUGGAUUUGCUGCCUUCUUAAUGUGAGGAGGGAUGAGGGAAACUUUUUGUUUGCAUAUACUAAUAGACAUUAAAAUUAUGUUUUUUUAAAGAGGCUUUCCAUUAUUCAACAGUUAGGAACAAGGACUGUCGGAAAGUUUGGUCAUCACCUUCAAAUCCUGUGCAUUUUGAAGUGGAUGCUUCUCAUGAAAAAUUAGAAAGCGUCUCAGAAGCAGACGCUAUGAAUUUCAGCAGUCUUUCUCGAGACUUAACUCACUCAGAUUCUCACUUCUAUGUGGAAACCAGCAGUACCACUUCAUACUUGCCUCAGGUGUGCGUUGCUCAUAAAUUCUGGGAGGUACAGAUGUCUCCAUCCUUCACAUCGUCUUAGAAUGAAAUAAAGAAUAUAAAAAGGAAAAACGAGUCUAAACUCACACUUUCCGAAGAAAUUUGUAGCAUACUAGGCGAUUUGUUAGGCGUUUGCCCAGGGAGCUGCAGGAUAUUUUGAAAUUUGAAAAAAACACUGAUACUGGACAUCUUUUGGACCCCACAAACUACUAGCUUAAGAUAGUUCACGAUUUCAAUAUGAAACCAUGCUGUGAUCCUUUCUAUAAUAUCUUGUUUGCAAAGAUGGGUUUUUGGAGGUUGCUGUGACAAAAAGCAAGUACUUCCUGAAAAUCAGUGUGAAAUCGGAAGUGAGGGUUGGCUUCCAGCCUGAUUCCAAGGUUUGAGACAUUGUGCUGGGCCCAGUUGUGUACCCAAGGAGUAGGCAAGUUGUUUAAGAGUGAAAUAAAAUGUUUUUUUCUUUCAGUUUAUGUGUAUUUUCAAACAGCUACUAAGUUGUUUGGGAAAAUACUUAUUAAGUUUGAGCUGAACUACUUAAUAAAUGGAACUGUUAAGUAUUUCUUUUGGUCUAGGGGUGCUAUGAAAAAAUUACGGAGACAUUAAGCUGUCACAAAAUGAGAAGUCUGGGAACUUGAUACAUAUUAUUUAGGGUACUUAAGUGAGUAGUAAAAUUAGAAAAAUAUGGAUGGGAAGAAUUAAUACCAGCUUCAGCAGAGUACUUCUCUCUGGGGAGGGGAAAAGGGGGUAAUUUAGAUAGAAGGAAAGAGUAAUUUAUUAAUUUUGUAAUACUUUUUUCCAUUUUGUUUGCUUCUGAUUUUUAAAAAUGUAUUAAAUCUGGGUAAUUUGUCAUAUUGAGAAACAAUACAGCAUAGCAUUUAGGAAUAGUAUUGUAGAAUCCCAGCUACACUGCUUACCAGCUCUGUGACCUUCGGCAAGUGACUUAACAUCUCUUAUAUUUCAGUUUCCUUGUCUGUAAAACGGGUAGUAACAGUAUCUAGCUCAUGAGGUUGUCAUGAGAUUAAAUGAGUUUAUGUGUGUUUACUGUUAUACUGUGUGCUGUGCGUUUGUAUUCUGUGUUUUUUUUUUUAAUUUGUUUAUUUUAUUGGCUGCAUUAGGUCUUCGUUGCUGCACAUGGGCUUUCUCUAGUUGCGGUGAGCAGGGGCUACUCUUUGUUGUGGUGCCUGGGCUUCUCAUUGCGGUGGCCUCUCGUUGCGGAGCACGGGUCCUAGGCAUGUGGGCUUCAGUAGUUGCAGCACAUGGGCUCAAUAGUUGUGGCGCACAGGCUUAGUUGCUCCACGGCAUGUGGUGUCUUCCUGGGGCAGGGAUUGAACCCAUGUCCCCUGCAUUGGCAGGCAGAUUCUUACCCACUGCGCCACCUAGGAAGUCCUGUGCAUUUGUAUUCUUUUGAAACAUUUUUAAAAUUACAGUACAACAAAAGGAUUUUGAAGAUGUCUGAAUUUGUUGCAAUGGUAUUCAACAAGAAUGAUAUAGCCAUAUGUACAUUACGAAUAAAAAAUAUCAAAUUGUACACUUUAAAUAUAUGCAGUUUA